rnacentral:lncRNA from 1 species
UUCUUUCAUGGUCCAUGAAACAGUAAACCCGAGAAAGGUGCAACCAAUUGGCCAUUUUGACGUCAACCUUUAAAAAAAAUGGUGUGAUUAUGGAAAAUUUCAGGCUAUACAUGUUCUUACGCUCGUCAAAACUAUUUAGUGUUUCUACUUAGUGUUAGUUACAUGUUCUUACGCUCGUCAAAACUAUUUAGUGUUUCUACUUGACGUGUACAAGGUUGUUAAUGUAUUUAUCAUCUACAAAGAAGAGUUUCUACAUAUACCCAAUGAAGGAUAUUGGCCCACAUUUGAAAGUGAAACUUUGUAUCACAAGCCUGAAAUGCGGAGAAUUAAAAAAUACCGUCCAAAUAAUACCCUAUUAGAACUGAAAUGGAAGUUAAAGAAAAGUACUAAGAAAAUGUAGACUAUAUCGGUUAACUGGUCAUACUCGAACACAUUGUCCAAAUGUUACAAGAAGUUUUAGUCGCUCUAUAUAAUUUAAAAUUUGUAUUUAUGUAUUUAUCUAAAUUAUAUAUAUAUAUAUAUAUAUAUAUAUGUAUAUAUUGUUAUUUGAAAAAAAAAUUAAUUUUUUUUUGUAAAUUAUUUCAGGAAGUCGCCAUUUGAAAGGUUUUCUUAAGGAAGUUACCAUUCUAAAUGACGACUUAUACUUAGAAAAAAAAGUCUAUUUUGGUUAAUAAAUUUAAAAAGAGAGUAUUUGGGUAAUUUUGUUUAGAAAUAGGGUUAUUAUUUAAAAAAAAAAAACCCAAAUUGGGGCCGAAGCCCACAUAUUGAUAUAAACUAAUGACCAAAGCAGUGUCGUGAGUGAACUUAUCUAGCGAAGGCAUUAACUCGUCAGACAUGCUAAUCAACUUUCUCACUUGUGUUCAUCACUCUCAAUCCUUGCAUGGCGAUGGAAUCAUGUCCCCAAGCAAGAACUCAAAUUUCAUAUUUAAUUUGGAGAUUUAGGCAUCGGUGAAUUCUAAAGAUUUGCAAUUAUUGAUAUAAUCUUACAAAAUUAUAUCUAUCAUAUUUGAAGUAAUUCAUCACCAAAUUCUCAACAUCUUUUGUGUCAUGAAAUUCUUUAUUUCUUUAUAAAUAACUUUCUCAAACAUCCAAUACUACUAUUAUAUUGUUG